GGGGGUGUAGCUCAGUGGUAGAGCACUUGCCUGGCAUGCAAAGGCCCAGGUUCAAUCCCCACCACCA
rnacentral:tRNA from 1 species